rnacentral:misc_RNA from 1 species
GGGUGUUCAACCUGUAACCGAGGGUUUAGUUCCAAGAAAUAGUACUCUCCAGUGUCCAUACUGUAAAGAUACUCAACAGUGGCAGCUCCAACGUAAUUGACACAUUUGGCCAGUCUUCUAGCAGCCUGCUCAAGUUUUUUCACAGUGUCUAGCGGAGCGACUGUAAUUGGCCCCUCUUCAAUAAUCUUUUGGUGUCGCCUUUGAACACUACAAUCACGGCUGUGCAAAGCUGCAACAUUGCCAUAUUGAUCACAUAAUAACUGGACUUCCAGAUGCCGACUCUGAGAAGCAAC